UGCUUCGGCCGGGAAUCGAACCCGGGCCGCCCGCGUGCAGGCGAGCAUUAUCGCCAUUGAACUAAGAAACCAAAC